rnacentral:lncRNA from 1 species
CAACAGUCUGGAGGGACAGUGAACGCUGAAGGAUCCCUCUAAACUGCUCAUUUAACUGGCGACUUGGCUUGGUGCCCGCAGCUUACAGGUGUUGGGGGUGCGGGUAGAUGGCUGAAACCUUGGGCCAGGUUUUGUGUUUUUGCUGUAUCAGAGGAAGUAGUUGCCUUCUGUUAUUCAUUUACUUGUUGGAACAUGUUUGUGUGUUUGAAAGUGGUUUUGGUUGUAUCUAGUUUCUUGGAGUAUUUGAUAGAAGAGUAGAGACAGAAAUAUUAUGUUUACUUUCAAGUUCCCAAAGGGGAGGUGGGGAAGAGCUUGAAAGAGAAGCUGACAUACGUUGUUUCCAUUAUGUAUCCUAAGAGUCGUGACCUGUGUCAGUUAUAAUAUUUUUAAUUUAGGUAACUAAUGAAAUUGGGGUGCAGUCCAGGAGGCUAUUCUUGUUCCUCCUGUGGCAAGCACAAAAAGUAGAUAUAUUAGGAAAACUAAACCAUUCUCACUUUGAAGUUCAGCAUUGCAGAAGAAUGUGAAUUAAUUGUAAGAGUGAUUUCAGAAUAAGUUUAUACUAAGAUUUUUUUUAAAGUUGAUCUAGCAGUAGACUAGUUGGGUUUAUUGUGAAUUGCUUGUGUGACUUCUGAAUCACUCAUAAGAAUCGCGGUAAUAUAAUGCAUAAGCAGUUAAACUUGAGUUCACUCUGACAAAGCAUAAGUGGCUAUAGUGUAUUUCAGCGAGUGUUUGGAAACUGCAAAUCUCUUCAGUAGAAUGUGUUUUAAAGAGCCUUUUAAAACUUGAGUGCUAUCUUUUGAUGAUACUCUUUCUGUUAUCUUUUCAGGGAAACUACUGGAUAUACAAAUUAGAAUGUGGAACUAUUGCAGCAGAGUGCCUUUUUAACUUUCAUGUUUUUUCUACUGGUUUUUGGAAUACAGAAGUUGUCAUCCUAGUUGAACUGUGGCUAGCGUGCUGCACAGGGAAUGAAAGUAGAGCUAAAGGUGAUGUUUUCUUCAGUGUAAGCCUUUGGUUUCUCUAGUGGUUGCAGUAACUAAAAGUAGAAACCCAUGUUUGUCAGCUAGAUUCAGCGGUGGGUUUUGGAUUUUUUUUUUCCUGUUUGUUUUCAGAGAAGGUGAGGUAUUUCUCCGCAAUAUGUAGAAAUAGUUUUUCUUGCUUGCCAUUCAGAAAGUUGAAGCCAAGGCCUUCAGAAAGUGAAUGACAAGGAAUUAACUUCCAAAUAUCUCAAGCCAGCCAGCCUUACCUUCUUAGUAUUCUUAUUUAGACAAAGCCUUGUUUGCUUGAAAGAUCACCUACUUCAGUGUUUUCUGGCAGUCUUUUUGCAAAUGCUUACUGCAUCAUAAAGUCACUUAAAUUUUUGAAAGAAGAAAAGUAGUUCUAUAUCUUAAGUACAAAGCUUAAAAUCUUUGUUCUGUGUGCUUUUAAGUUAUACAAUGGGAAAUGAUUACAAUCUAAUUGAAGUAUAGUGCUAGCAGGCAAGUUAAUGUCUGAAAAGGAAAAAGUGUUUUUUUUAACUAUUUUGAAUGGCCAUUAAUAAGGGAAGCAUAAUAAAGCAACCAAACUGUGUGGGGUAUGUAUACA